UACGUAGGGUGCGAGCGUUGUCCGGAAUUAUUGGGCGUAAAGAGCUUGUAGGCGUUUUGUCGCGUCUGCCGUAAAAAUCCGGGGCUCAACCCCGGACUUGCGGUGGGUACGGGCAGACUAGAGUGUGGUAGGGGAGACUGGAAUUCCUGGUGUAGCGGUGAAAUGCGCAGAUAUCAGGAGGAACACCGAUGGCGAAGGCAGGUCUCUGGGCCACUACUGACGCUGAGAAGCGAAAGCGUGGGGAGCGAACAGG
rnacentral:rRNA from 1 species